AACGUUCCCUGCAGCCAUGCUGACCUUGGAUCGUUCCUUCCUAUCUACAGUCAUGGAAGAAAGCUGCUAAGUGUGUUGAGAUCUGUACCAUGACCACAAUGAACAUGGCAACAUUCAGGAAGAACAUGACUCCAAAGUACCCGGCACAGCUCACAUAAAACACCACGGCAUCCUGAAUCCAGCAGCUUGAAGGGACAGAAACAAGAACAAGAUAAAAGAGUUUGCCUACCCCGCCCUGUUUACUGGUGACUUUCCUUGGCCUGGUUUGCACAGCUUACUGAGUUCUUUCUGAAACACCUAUGAAAAGCCCGCUCAUAUCCGUGGACUCGAGUUUCUGCUUUGAUCUUUUCAUAGGUGGUUUUGCGUUCGGGUGGUUUUGGAUGGCCGCUGUCUUGAUCUCGUUAUUUAAGUCAAUAUUAAAAAGCAAAGGAGGUUGCUUGUUGAAUUCUGA